rnacentral:rRNA from 1 species
UGGGGAAUAUUGCACAAUGGGCGCAAGCCUGAUGCAGCCAUGCCGCGUGUGUGAAGAAGGCCUUCGGGUUGUAAAGCACUUUCAGCGGGGAGGAAGGCGCUAAGGUUAAUAACCUUAGCGAUUGACGUUACCCGCAGAAGAAGCACCGGCUAACUCCGUGCCAG